rnacentral:lncRNA from 1 species
AAACAGAAUUUCAAGAUUGCGAUUAUGAUAACAAAAUAGUAGUAAACACAAGUCUUUAUGAAUUAUUCAUGGGAGUCAAAUACUGAGGAAAUUGAAAACAAUGCUUCUCAACACACUCACAAGAUAGCUAGUGCAACAUAUAAAGUCUUGAAGGGAGGCAGAGAUUUGAAGUACAAAGUUAAUGCACAGAAUGAAGUUCUUCUCUCUAAAAAAGGCUUAUAGCUGAUGAAAGCUGCAACAGUGUUCUAUCUUCCACUGCUAUUUCAUUAUACUUCACAACAGUUCUUUUAUGCUGAGAGAUAUUUGCAUUAAGGUGGUGGAAUUAUGAUAAACCCCUCUUAUCUGGAGAUACAAGGUGGGGAAGUGGAGGCUUUUAUUCCUAUCUCCAUGGAUGGAAUCAUAUUCAGC